UACGAAGGGGGCGAGCGUUGUUCGGAUUUACUGGGCGUAAAGGGCGCGUAGGCGGCCCGAUAAGUCCGCUGUGAAAGUCCAGGGCUCAACCCUGGGAUGCCGGUGGAUACUGUCGGGCUCGAGUCCGGAAGAGGAGUGUGGAAUUCCUGGUGUAGCGGUGAAAUGCGCAGAUAUCAGGAGGAACACCAAUGGCGAAGGCAGCACUCUGGGACGUGACUGACGCUGAGACGCGAAAGCGU
rnacentral:rRNA from 1 species